CAGGCCUCCCGCUCUCUACUCCUCCAGCCACUGCCCGAGCUGUCACAUACCGGAGCCGAUGGCAGAACGCGCUGAGACCCGACCAGAACACGUCUUCCUUCCUAUGGAGGCCACCAGGCAGUCUGGGAAAGAGAUUUACCAAAGAAAACGCAUCCUGAUGGGAGUAGUUGUUGCUGCAAUUCUCUUACUGGUUGUUGCUGGAAUUCUCUUACUGGUCCUUGUUUGUAGACUGAUGCUCCAUAAUCCAGGUACCAGGAAUGGAUUCAACCAGGU